rnacentral:rRNA from 2 species
UGGCGGCCGUAGCGCGGUGGUCCCACCUGACCCCAUGCCGAACUCAGAAGUGAAACGCCGUAGCGCCGAUGGUAGUGUGGGGUCUCCCCAU